CCUAUAGUCCCAGCUACUCGGGAGAAGAGAAAACGCACCACAAGCUCGAGUGGCCCUGCCCACCGAAUCAUCCCUAGCGAGGGUUGCUGAGCGGCUUAAAUCUAUAUAUUGAUGUCUUACACCAGAUUGGUAAUGUCCUUGUUAACUAUUUUUUCAAUUAUUGACUCUGUUCUAUUUUGUCUCUCUUCCCUUUCUGGGACUACAACUAUACUCUGCUAGAAGUUUUGAUCAUGUCUUACAGCUGUCUUAUGCUCUGCUCUGUUUUCUUUCUUCUCCCAUAUUUUUUACCUCUUGAUUUUGGACUUCUAGCUUCUAGAACUGUGAGAAGGUAUAUUUCUGUUGCUUUAAGCCAUGAAGUUUGUGGUAAUUUAUUAGAGCAGUCCUAUGAAACUAACACAACCACUACACUGGCAUACAGAAACGGAAAAAUUAAGUAAAUGGAUGGUGGGAGCAAAGUUUCUCAUUGUUGAAAUGAGGAGGUAUAAGGACAAGCAAGGGAGAAGGCUAGAGUGGUCCAUGUGGUAAUGAAUUAGAGUUGCAGACACUGGUAUGAACUCAUGCAUUUAUGAGUAUGACAUCUUAUUAACUCUACAUGGUUACAUAUAGAAAUGUUUA